AGUUUAUGAACUUGUAUAAGUAUAUAUUUUGAAAAUAUAAAAAAGAAGUAGAUCUUCUAUAAACUU
rnacentral:tRNA from 1 species